rnacentral:lncRNA from 1 species
GCAUACUUUCUAAUAUGAGAGAUUAGAUUGGGGGUGGGGUGGUGAACAGUGACACUGCAACUGAAAGAAGAAAUGGCUUAAGAAGUAAAAAUUAGCUCAAUUAAGGCAUCCGAGCUUCAAGUACUGUCAUACAUAUAGAUUAAAAAUGCCCAGUUGACAAAUUAAAACUUGUAAGGGAACAAAGUAAUAUAAAAAUGAGGCUUGAGGGUUCCCUGGUGGCUCAAAGGUUAAGGAGCCAGUGUUGCCACUGCUGUGGCGUGGGUUCUUUCAAUCCCUGGUCCAGGAACUUCUGCAUGCUAUCGGCACGCGCGCACACACACACACCCCGCAAAAAAAAACAGACUGGAUAAGAUCAUCAGGCUACUUGUGCAGACUGAGAGAGAAGUCCAAGAAAGAGGACAUUAGGGAAUAAUAUUCAAAGGCCCUGAGGGAAAAAUGCGGAAGGUACGGGAUAGUCUGUUAAGACUCCGAUUGUAUUGCUUAUGUGCUCGCCCCAAGAAAAGGGAGUCAGGUAAAAAUGAAAAAGUUGUUAGGUGAAAAUAAUUGGAUUACAUUAACUAUAGGUCCCUGUAUUCUUAUCUUCAGUUCUCUUAGGCUGUUCUCUAGCUCCUGACCCCUUCUCUAGCACCUGCUCUCCCUUAGAGCUUCUGCCACAUGACUUCCGUGGCUUUUGUGUCUUCACAGUAUUGACAUGGGUCGUUUUUGACUUUCUUCUUGGAUCGCAAGCUGAACCCGCUCACCCCUCACUGCUUUCUGCCCCUGACCUUGCAGUCCAUGACACACCAGCCAUAAAAGAAACCCAAAAGCAGGAAGAAAAAAAAAUAGGUUGAAAGUGAACCAGAAAGAGAGGCUUCAGAGAAGCCGAGAAAUCAAAACAUUUCCAAAAAGAGAACGAUCUACAUGUCCGGGCAACAGAGAGGACAAACAGAAGGAGCACCGAAAAGGAGGAACUGGAUUCGGCAUCUAGGAAGCUCCUGGUGUCUCUGAACGAGAGCCGCUCCGAGAAAGUGGUAGGGACAAGAGACACAUGUAUAAAAAGGAAUUGAUGAGAUAAACAUGAUACCCUGUAAUUUUCUCCAUAAAGCAUAAAAGAGAUCCUCCUCUGAUAGUGAGGGGGUUUGGGUGGGAAAUUAGAAUUUGUAGUUCACGGAGGCGAUUUACAUGUAUUUAAUCCUCACAACCACCAUUGGGCGUGGGUGGGUAUUAUCAUCCCCAGGUCAUAGUUAGGCAACUAACCUAGUGAACUGAAGUCAUACAGCUGAGAGGAGGCAACUCUAGAACUCAAUCCAGGUCUGUCUCCAGAUCCCUGCUUUUCCUUCUGCAUUCAGGUUUAGAAUAGCCCCCGAGAGGAAUGUGACAAUGUAGAAUCAUAUUAUUAUAAAUAUUAUUUAUAAAUAUGAUUACUCACAUAUAAGUAUACAGUAGCGGAAGUAAUGAUGAGUAAAACAGACCAGAUGAUAGCAAUGCUGACGUUAAAUAGAGAAAUGAAACGCUUCGGCUCCAGAUUUACCUGCAAUUAACAGCCUCUUAUCGAACUUUAUGCCAUAAAACACGGUGCUGGAGUUCCUGUAGUGGCGCAGCAGAAACGAACCCGACUAGGAACCAUGAGGUUGGGGGUUCGACCUCUGGCCUCGCUGCGUGGGUUAAGGAUCCGGCGUUGCGGUGAGCUGCGGUGUAGGCUGGCAGCUGUAGCUCCGAUUCAACCCCUAGCCUGGGAACCUCCGUAUGCUGCUGGUGUUGCCCUAAAAAUGGACAAAAGACAAAAAGUGGAACAAUAACAACAACAACAAAAACACAGUGCCCAUGAGCACCUGCGGCUCAUAAUGUUGCUUCACGCAAAAGACUUUUUUCAGUUUUCAUAUAGCCACAAAGUAUCAUUUAUAAACUUUCCUUUCGUUGCGUCGAAACAUAUCUUUAAAAUAUUUACGAACUCUUACUGUAAUUUAGGGUUAUUUUUAUUUCUCAAGUUACGAAAAACAUGUUGAGAGUUAUAAGUAUGUAAACUACAAACAUUUCCUUUUACCCUCGAAUUGUUUUAAAUAAGACAAAAUGAACUGUAUGUACUCUUUGCCAAUGAAGUUAAGGUUCUUUUGGCACCUUGCUUACUGAAUCAUCAAAGACCGAGGAAGUAAUCGACUUUUCUAUUGAAAAUGUAAUUUUAAAAAAUGGUUGCUAUAAAAUGAUAGAAAAAGCCAUGGAACAGGCAGCAUGAAUAUUUGAAAGAUAAUAAAGUAUAGCCCAGCUAUCUGGCAGGGAAAUAGAUCUUUUAACAUUAUUAUUAAAUUUUCAUGUAGAAUGGAGGGAUUUCCCAUUUAAGUAAGAGAUGUGUAAAAAAUCAUUUUGUCGAAAAUCUUUUUAAAGUACAUGUAUUAAGGAGUACAUAUUUACUUCAUAAAACAGAUGAUGCUCAACCUAGAUUAUCCUUUUUGUGUGUGUGUGUGAUGAUUGCAAUAACAGCAUGAUUGCUUCUGGGUAUACUGAGGAUUACAGAAUGAUUUCCUCCUACAUUAAAUCGUUCCAUAAAGCUAUACCUUCUUAAUUCUUGGAUCUGCUUUUCAUUGAUUUUUUUUUUUUUUUUGUCUCCUUCUCUGUCAAGGCUCAUAUCUCAUGGCAGCCCACAUACUUGCAUGGACCCAUUCACACCUGUGGUAGCAUAACCCAGCCCACCACACACACACACACACACACACACACACACACACACAGACACACACACAGAAGCAAAGUUAGACUUGACCGUGGAGGUGGGCCACUCAGAUCUCCCUUCAGGUAGUGGGUGAACUCUAGUUGGCUGGCAACCUCCAGCUAG